GGCGAGCGCGCCUGCGCGCUGGGCGGGUUUUUCACGUGUCGCCAGGGCUGCACCGCGAGUCUCUCCUUGCGGCGCUACACUAGAGCAGAGUACGAGUCUGAGGCGGAGGGAGUCAUGGCAGGACAAGCGUUUAGAAAGUUUCUUCCACUCUUUGACCGAGUGUUGGUUGAAAGGAGUGCUGCUGAAACUGUAACCAAAGGAGGCAUUAUGCUUCCAGAAAAAUCUCAAGGAAAAGUAUUGCAAGCAACAGUAGUCGCUGUUGGAUCGGGUUCUAAAGAAAAGGGUGGAGAGAUUCAACCGGUUAACAUGAAAGUUGGAGAUAAAGUUCUUCUGCCAGAGUAUGGAGGCACCAAAGUAGUUCUAGAUGACAAGGAUUAUUUCCUAUUUAGAGAUGGUGACAUUCUUGGAAAGUACCUAGACUGA